rnacentral:misc_RNA from 1 species
AAGUCGUAACAAGGUUUCCGUAGGUGAACCUGCGGAAGGAUCAUUAACGAACGAGGAAUUCAAUUUACUUGAAUUUCUUGGGAUCAACCAAAACCUGUAUGAUGAUGUAAAUUGUAUAUCGAUUAAUACUCGUAUACGAAAAUAAAUUUAAUAAAAUACAAAACUUUCAACAACGGAUCUCUUGGCUCUU